UCUGCCUGUACUCGUGUCAGUCGAAUAUAUGACUGGAUUGGACACGUUUCCGGUAGGAUUACCUAAGAGGUCUUCAUAAUGACAGAGGUGGGUGAGAUUGACACAAUGAUCACUGAGGACAGAAAUGCGAUCAUCCAGGGGGACGACAAGCUUGAAGAAUUUGAACAGAGAGCGGAAGAACUCGAGGAAGUGACCACCCUUCUUUUUAAAAAAAUAAACCAUUCAAAGACUCAAGUUGGUCGUCGCUGUGAAACACCGAAACAAAAAAGUUGGAGGUCGCUAUGCUGCUGUAGCUGUAGUGAGCCUCGAGAAGACGCCCCAGGAGAAGAGAUAAAGACAUAACCGAAGGUGGUGAUAAUGGAUAAAUGCUGGCAGACCACACAGCCUAAACAUUUAACUGGGGCCUCCAUCUGCAUCCAAUUUCGCACUGGGGAAAUGUAUCUCUGCGGAAGUAAAUAGGAAGGAAAGGUUCACACUUGCAACAGAUCGGGCUUGUCAUGCAAUACCAGACAGUUUGUUCUUGUACUGAUCUGAAAGAGCUAGAGCUGUUUCACAAUGUAUAUUUGUAUUAUUAAAUGCCAGAAGAAUAUUUCCAUACACAGUGUUAACCAAAUCAUUAGAGACUUUGUAAUUUUGUUACCCGUAAAGAUCCGGUGUAGAAUAGGUCUUCAA